AACGCCGUUGUGUCUCCCUCUAGGACGUGUACUGGUUGAUGAUCUGCUUCUUCUACGGACACAGAAGUUCACUGUUAUAGGUAACAAUAUGAGAAUGAGCAUAACCAAAAUAGACCCUCCAACUGCAGCAAUUAUAACUUUAAUCCUGUGGCUUAACCAGGGAGACUCAGGCUUCUUUUCUUGUGCUGGUUGCUGUCCGAAAUUGUCGAAACUUAAUCCCUUACUGGAGUAAAACGAAGAGCAGUCUGACAAUCCUCGCUGGCUCAUUGCCCCCUGAAGACAAUUGUUGCUCAAGGAAG
rnacentral:lncRNA from 1 species